GGUGUACCUAGAGUGCUCAGUGCGCGUGUGCAACGUCUCGACUGGGGCUCGCGGUGCCGUCGAGGCUGCAUGCGGGGAGGGCGGGUGGCGCGAGACCUCGGGACGGUGCACGGAGAUGCACGUCAUGCCGAGCACUCCGUCGACGGUCCCAGGGCCCCAUCAGACUGCGCAAGACUCGUGAAGCCUCUCUGGAGAAGCAGGGCAGCGAUGGGUUGCCUGGCUGGACAGGCAUGGUGUACGCCCUGGCUGCCACCAUGGCCGUCGGUGCCGUCUGUGUGGCCACAGUGAAAAUUUACCGCCACCGCGCUGCCAGGAUCCAAUACCAACCGCUCAGCACUUCAUAUUAAUGUACAACUUACCAGGCUUAAUGUUGCUUUUUAACUAAUGCAAGCAACAUGUAAAAGUAAUUUUCAUAAAUGUUUUGUCAAGGGUUUCCAGUAAAUACACAAAAUCGUGCAGCAAGAUGCACAAAACAGGAAUUCAGAGUUGAAAAUUGUAGCCAGUAUUGACGACGUUUUACACUUCAAAUACAUGAGCAUAACAAAGUGGCGUCUACAGAGCUAGAUAAGUGAGGGCAUGAAUAUACACUUGCCAAAUGUUGCUUUAAAAUGCAUUGGCACAAAUGUGGUGUCAUGUCAUCGCAAACACCAUACAUAUCACUCGAAUCCGGUUCUCAAACAAGUCCAGUAAACUACUUGUUUGGAUCUCCAGGAUAACCUAUAUACAUACAGUAAGCCACUACAUCUAACUAAAAUAUUUGUUUUGGUGCAAAAUAAUGUCAUUGGAAAAAUACUGAGGUGUAGAGAUAAAAUAUAACUAAAUGUUGCAAAAAUGAUGUUAUCAUUUGAGUAGCUGAUUUGUUUGAAUUAUUCUACAAUAAACAUGUUGCCGACU